rnacentral:rRNA from 1 species
GACGAACGCUGGCGGCGUGCUUAACACAUGCAAGUCGAGCGGUAAGGCCCUUUCGGGGGUACACGAGCGGCGAACGGGUGAGUAACACGUGGGUGACCUGCCCUCAGCUCUGGGAUAAGCCUGGGAAACCGGGUCUAAUACUGGAUAUGACUCCAUGACGCAUGUUGUGGGGUGGAAAGCCUUGUGCGGCUGAGGAUGGGCCCGCGGCCUAUCAGCUUGUUGGUGGGGUGAGGCCUACCAAGGCGACGACGGGUAGCCGGCCUGAGAGGGCGACCGGCCACACUGGGACUGAGACACGGCCCAGACUCCUACGGGAGGCAGCAGUGGGGAAUCUUGCGCAAUGGGCGAAAGCCUGACGCAGCG